AGAGAGAGAGAGAGAGAGAGAGAGAGAGAGAGCGAGAAAGAGAGAAAGUGAACGAUAGCAAAUUUUAGGGGCGCAAAAGAAAAGAAAGAUCAACUCCAGUAGCCAGCAAUAUCUUUCUUCCUCUGGACGUUGGCAAAGACGUGGAAGACUUGCGAGAGGACCUGCUCGGAGUGCUUAAGCAUGGCCCCGUACAUUAUCUGUGUUUUUUUUUUCUCACGCCCUGUGGGUGGAAGGAUUGGUUCGAUCAAUCUGCCCAAGACCUUUUCCAUCUGGACACUGAAAUCUUUAGAAAUCUAUCGACAUUAGGGAGGAAUUAGCAGGAAGAAAGGUUCUAUUGGAUCAGGCUCUAGUCGGUCUGGAGGCUUUUGGUAGAUCAUUUGCUUGAUCUGAUGUGAUCCUCAUCCGUCAGUCUAUAGACAAAUUUACACUGAGCAUCCAACUCCAGACAAUCGUUGAUCAAUCUGUAUGCACACAAUUUCUUUUGAUCACCCCCAAAAACCAUCCUGAUUGACUAUCAGCUAGCUUCUAGGCCAACCCCUAGUAGCCAAUGCCCUUGAAGCGUCUAGAUUCCAGAAUUCCAGACAAUCAUUGGUCAUCUAUAUGCCAAAGAUUCCUUAUGAUCAUCCCCCAAAAACUGGCACCUUGCUAAGAACGCCCCGUGUAACAUCGAUCCCGUUGCCUCGGGUGGGCCCUCCGCAAUGAUCAGGUGGUCGUCCCCAAAAAUUGUACGACCCGGACCGACUGGUGGCGCCAGCAGUUUCUGCACAAAAAAGAAGAAACACAGUGCCACAUGCCAAUGGUGCAAGUUUUACGAAUCAGCGAAGCUACCAAACCACGUUGCAGUUUCAUCAGCGAAACUGCCGAAAAGUAUCGAAUCCGGACCAAAAUCAAAAACGUUGCGUCUAAUGUGCAUUUUGUGUGCUUGUGUCGGAUGGAAGAGCGGAAAAGAAAUUGGAACGAAUUAAUCGUGCAAAGUCGUUCCUUCCAAGUUGGAAGUGGAGUGUAGACAGUUUGAGCCCUAGUUCCUCGUUGCUUUUGUUGAUCAUUUUUUGUUGUAAGCUGUUAUUCGGUAACUCCCCAGAAACCCAUCAUAAAUGCGGUGUCUUUGUCACCUGAAACGCGGCACUAACGAUACCCGCAGCGAAACGCGCGACCUUCGCUCCCGCCGAUCAACUGUGUACGAGCGCGCGCACACCACCGGGGGGCCCUUCGUCCAACAACAGAAAAGAGUAAAAAGGGCAACCGCGAUGGUUAACGAAAUACGAACAAAAUCGGCCGUCCCCGCACCCGUCUGCGUUCAUGCCACAUUCAUGGAUCAAUCAAGUUAAUAAAGUCCACCCAUUCCCAUUCACACACAUACAUAUGCACACAUACAUUAGAAAGGGCCGGCCCAAUAGUGGAUUAGAGGGUCGCCGAGGGUCCGCGAGUGACGAUCAUCCAACUGAUGCCCACCUCCCGUCUGCCCUUCAAAAGUUCGAAAACCAAUCUGUCAUAUUUACCAGAAAAAGGGGCGAUGAGGGGGAUGAUGCGGCCCCUUUUUUUCGGUGGUUGAUCGCCCUUCGCCUUCGCCGGAACACGAAACACGGAAGGACGGAACGGUUGGCGUCAGUGGCCCUGAAAGUUCAAGCCGAGUGUCUGACUUUUCCGAACAGGUUCUGACUAAAUUUUGUGUUAAUACUGUGUUGUGUCUAGUGUAACUGAUCACGUCUGAUCGGGGGAGUUCCGAGUGGACAUCUUCGCUGAUGAAGAUCGUAAGCAAAAAGGUAAGAGCAAUUGUGAGGCUAGAUAGAGUACCAGGUUCCUAUUUUUGGGGCAUGUAAUUUUCGCAGAAGAUGAAUUUUUGCAUCUCCAAAACAAAAACCCAGGAAAUGGCCUAGGAAAACCUUCCUGCAAAACUUCCAUUCCCAUCUCAAUGCAAC